rnacentral:rRNA from 1 species
CAGCCGCCGCGGUAAUACCGGCGGCCCGAGUGGCGGCCACUAUUAUUGGGCUUAAAGCGUCCGUAGCCGGGUUGGUUAGUCUCCCGGGAAAUCUGGCCGCUUAACGGUCAGAAUUCCGGGAGAUACUGCCAGCCUAGGGACCGGGAGAGGCCGAGGGGAUUCCCGGAGUAGGGGUGAAAUCCUAUAAUCCCGGGAGGACCACCUGUGGCGAAGGCGCUCGGCUGGAACGGGUCCGACGGUGAGGGACGAAGGCCAGGGGAGCAAACCGGAUUAGAUACCCGGGUAGUCCUGGCUGUAAACGAUGCGGACCUUGUGUCGGACAAGCUAUGAGCUUGUCCGGUGCCGGAGGGAAACCGUUAAGUCCGCCGCCUGGGGAGUACGGCCGCAAGGCUGAAACUUAAAGGAAUUGGCGGG